rnacentral:rRNA from 1 species
GACUAACGCUGGCGGCGUGCCUAACACAUGCAAGUCGAACGAAGCAGCAAUGCUUAGUGGCAGACGGGUGAGUAACGCGUAGAUAAUGUGCCCUCUUGCGGGGGAUACCGUUUCGAAAGGAACGUUAAUACCGCAUAACACCUUCGGUGGGCAUCCACUGAAGGUCAAACUUCCGGGGCGGGAGGAGCAAUCUGCGUACUAUCAGGUAGUUGGUGAGGUAACGGCUCACCAAGCCUACGACGGUUAACUGGUCUGAGAGGAUGAUCAGUCACACUGGAACUGAGACACGGUCCAGACUCCUACGGGAGGCAGCAGUGAGGAAUAUUGCGCAAUGGGCGAAAGCCUGACGCAGCGACGCCGCGUGGAGGAUGAAGGCCUUCGGGUUGUAAACGUCCUGUCAGUGGGGAAGGAGAAUGGACGGUACCCGACUCGAGGAAGCUUCGGCUAACUACGUGCCAGCAGCCGCGGUAA